AGGUCACUGAAGAACAGCUUGCAGCUCUUUUUGUCACUUGUGGACAGCUGGGUAAAUUGCUUCCAUGGCCACUACUUCAAGCCUUUUCACUUCCACUGCUUUCUGUUGUUAUUGUGCUGCUGCAAACUUAUGAAAUUCAAGAAAGAAGACAAGCAGCUUUAGGAAACUGAGGCAUUUAUGUGGAGAUUGACUUUCUUAAAAAUAGUGUUCGACUGGAAUUAAUCAAAAAUAGAUAUAGGAUUUCAGUUUACAAUGCUCGCCAGCCAAUGAAACAGAGGGUCUUGACUCAAAGCAUCGGACUUCUCUCUUAUACAUUCUUGAGAAAAGCAAACUAUGACAGAAUAGUUGUACCUAUGGUAGGUUCAUUAUGAGUUUAAUACAUCGACAGGUACAUUGAACUUCUUGCAUGGUAAAGAGAAUUUUAUGUCUAAUCUUUUGAUGUUGUUGCAAUGGCCUCCUUCUGCGACAAAAGCAGAGCUUCUGAAGCAA